UACGGAGGGUGCAAGCGUUAUCCGGAUUCACUGGGUUUAAAGGGUGCGUAGGUGGGUUGGUAAGUCAGUGGUAAAAUCUCCGUGCUUAACAUGGAAACUGCCAUUGAUACUACUGGUCUUGAAUUUUCCGGAGGUAAGCGGAAUAUGUCAUGUAGCGGUGAAAUGCUUAGAUAUGACAUAGAACACCAAUUGCGAAGGCAGCUUACUACAGGGACAUUGACACUGAGGCACGAAAGCGUGGGGAUCAAACAGG
rnacentral:rRNA from 1 species